GUUAUAUGGUCAAGUGAAGAAGCGCAUACGGUGGAUGCCUUGGCAGUCAGAGGCGAUGAAAGACGUGGUAGCCUGCGAAAAGCUUUGGGGAGUCGGCAAACAGACUGUGAUCCAGAGAUCUCUGAAUGGGGGAACCCAGCCAGCACAAGCUGGUUAUCUUGUACUGAAUACAUAGGUGCAAGAGGCGAACCAGGGGAACUGAAACAUCUAAGUACCCUGAGGAAAAGAAAUCAACCGAGAUUCCCUUAGUAGUGGCGAGCGAACGGGGACCAGCCCUUAAGUUGAUUUGAGAUUAGUGGAACGCUCUGGAAAGUGCGGCCAUAGUGGGUGAUAGCCCCGUACACGAAAAUCUCUU
rnacentral:rRNA from 1 species